ACGAGGUAACAGCAUGCUUCACACAAAAGUCUAUGGCAAUAAUGAAUUUAUGAGCCAAAUCAUAAAAUAACAAGCUCAAGAUCUUAAGUUUAUAGAGAAACCCAACAGUUCCCACAAUGAGUAAGCACUUAAGGAUAAACAUUUUUUUGUUAUUAUGGUAAUUACUAGUGAUUAGUUUCAAGAAAUAGUUGGCUCUUGCAAUUUUUAUUUUUUCAUUAUAGGAAGUUAAGAGUUCUUUCAUAUUUAGGUAGUGGACAUGCAGUUUGGUCUUUUUCCACUUCCGUUCAUUUUUUCUGCACAGCCUUUUAAGUUCUCGUAGCCUGUCAUCAACCCAUGGAGAGGUGUUAAUAGGGGAUUUCAUUCUUGUUUUAAUGGAGGCUGCGAUUUCCAGUGUGGUUUGACAGGUAUAAUUGAAUGAUGUCUGGCAGGUAACUCCCUAGCUUAAAGAUUUCGUUGAUAUGAUUCGUGCGCAAAAUAUUUCAUUGUCACAGGUAGCAUAUCUUGACAUUGUAAUCCAAGAAUACUUAGAAUCAAGAAAGUGUUUAUUUCCUGAGAGUCGACUAAAACCAAUACACCAUUUCAUGCGGCACUAUCCAGAACUAACUUAGAAAUUUGGCCCCUUGAUCAGAGUUUGGACGAUGCGAUUUGAAAGUAAACACAGCUACUUUAAGAGAUGUGCCAGGCACUUAAAAAACUUUAAAAACAUCUGCCUAACUUUAUCAGAGAGACAUCAGAUGUUUCAGGCAUAUCUUUCAGCUGGGCCAGAACGCAGUUAGCUUCUGCAAGUCAAAGACAGUUGUACUUUUUACCCCAACCUUUACAGUGAUGCAAUUAAACAUGCAGUGAGGGAGUUUGGCUUUUCAGAAAACAAUAGUAGUGUUUCCACAGACAUACAGUAUAAAGGUACAUCAUAUAAAAAAGGGAAUUUCCUUGUGUCAAAAAAUGAUGAGUCCAUGGAGUUUGGAGAACUUCUCAUUAUUUUAAUUCAAAAAUGAUGCUGCUGUGUAUUUUGUGAUGGAUGUACGUAAAGCUGACUAUCAUUUUGAAUACCAUCUGUACUCCUUGACAAAACAAUGAGUACAACAUUGCAAUGUCUGAACAUUAACGACUUGGUAGAUUUGUAUCCGUUACAAUCAUACAUUGUUAAUGGGGACCAAGUCAUUCCACUCAGUGUUUUGUCGAAAUAAAAACGAUCUUGGCCACUGAGGUGGAGAAGCCCUACUAAAAAUGCCCAAGUAAAUUUAGUUAAAAUUAUAAAAUACUACUUGAAAAAUAUGAAAUUGACAGCAGUUUUUCCUUCCGUUUGUACAAAAAUAAAAAGUAAAUCCUCACUCAUAAUAUAUCCUUAAAGUGGAGGUUCCUCUUAUCUGUAUAUAUGUACACUAUUACAUGACUAAAUGUGCUAAUUACCUUUCUCUUCUUUCAUUUGUAAUCUGGAAAACUAUCGUCAUUCUGCCUUGAUUCCAGAAAUGACUCACUUGGAAGAAACAUUUCUACGCAAUGCCAUCACUGAGGUCUUGCCUGACAUUCACGAGAUGAUGAAAGAUAUCCUGGAAGAGAACUUAAAUUCGCUCGGGGUGGAGACAUCUGAUGAUUUUCAGUUUCUCAAGGAAGACGACUUGCUGACAGCCUUGAGGCCAAUUCAUGCCCGAAAAGUCCUUGCUGCUUGGAAGCUGAAAUGUAAGUCCAGUAUUGCAGUACAAUACAGGAUGCAACCAGUGCCCAAAGUCGCCUGCAUAAAAGAUCAAUUACAAAUAUACAAACAUUCACUUUGUAGGCCAGACUCCUGAAGCCAGCAGCUCAUCUGAUGCUGCCUCACCAGGACCUCCCACACCAUUACAGUCUCUUUCACCCAUAAGUUCACCCUCAACCUCUUCCAACAGCCCCCAAAGCCCCGAUAUAGACUGGGUGGAUACAUUUAUGUUACCGUGGGAUAAGUUCCCAGGGGGAACUUAUGCAGUCAUUGGAGAGAGAAAAACUACCAAGUCCACGAAUGAGGAGGGAGAUGAUCCGGACUGUGGUAUAUGAGAUGACACGAAAAAGAUCUUGCGUUAGUAGAACAAACACUACUCAAGUUGCCAAAAAGAUGGUGGCAAAAUAUCCCAAAUCUCUUCAAGACAUAAUCGGAGGAGAGGUGAUUGGGCCAGGGCAUCACUCUCUUGUAAAGCAACUGCAAAACAGGAUCGAGAAUGUGAAGCGAAAUACAAUCCCAAAAGUGAGAAAGCGAAAGAAGCUCACUGAUGAGUCCGACACAGACGAAGUCCCUCAAGAACAGAGAGCAACAAUCCAGGACACUUAUGGUUGCGUUAACUGGAAUUAAAAAUUCCUGCCCCGUGGAGAGACUCAUCAGAGCCAGCAGGAGAAGAAAGAAAAACUGAAGAUCAUGUCUCAACAAACUGAUGCUAAUUUAGAGGAGGUCAAACUUCUAAUGAAGUUGACUUUCUACACACAACGUGAACAAGUCAUCCAGGGGAAAAAUAUACAAUUCUUCCUGGAAGAGUGGCCAUUUUGGUUCGGCGAACUCGGCAUGGCAGUCCACUUCAAAGAACUGACCGGAAUUGGGCUCAAAGAAACUUUCACACGCAAUUCUGAACUGAAGGGUUAACGUCUCCAGAACUACAUGAAUACUGUUUGUUUGAAAAAUAACCAAAAGUUCUUAAAGGCUGUUACCAAGUCUAAAGUGCUGAGGGGAGAGCUGAGUGGUUGCUCUGAAGAUGUCAAAGAGAUGCUGCUGCUUCUGCUUUCCUACUUUGAUGAGAAGCAUGACUCGAUGAUCUGCUAUGUGGAGAACACAUGCCUGGCAGAGGAAGUGCAGAUGGACCAAGUUCACCUGACUCACACCAAUGUUGUGUGUGGACGAUCCUGUUAUUCUUCGAGAUGGUUCAUGCUGAGUGUGGAUCGAAACAUUGUACACAACAACAUCCCCUCCUUCGUUUCUGCUCUGUGCAUGAUGUUUGGGAGCUAUUAUUGUUUCAACAAAAACAUUUUAAGAUAUUAUUACAUGGAACAUUUAUUCAUAGCCAAUAACCCCUUCUUUCUUUCCAUAUUUCCUCAUUCAGUUAAUAUAGUAUGUGGAGAAAUUACAUGUUUUUGCACUUUUGAGAUUAAUAAAUCAUUGGAAAGGCAAGUUAUUGUUUUGUUUAAUUAAAACAAAAAAAAUAUUUUAGUACAGCAACACUUAAGGUAUAUCUAGCUUUGCUUUACAAUUUGCAAAUGCUUAAUCUGUUUACACUGGGUUACAUCUUUCACAUUUCUGGUCAAACAUUUAAAAGAAGACAAGGCAGUGUAAAUGACAUAUAGAAGCUUUCUUUUUUUCAGAGCGCAAUAAUCACAGAUGGUGAAGAAUACUUUUACAGUUUAUAUUUCAGAUGGAUAUAUAUGGGAGACGUAGAACAGGAUUUUUUGCCAUAAAAUCGUAAUUUGCACAUUUUAUGGAAAAUCUAAUUGCAGUAUUUAGAUGUUGAUUUUACUGUAAAGUCUAUAAAUAAAAUAUUGAAAAAUACACUACAUUAUAUAAAAAUUUGGAGUAAAAUUUGCAGAGGAAUUCAGUUAAAUGACAGCCUUAUAAUGAAGAAUUUACAGUUCUUUUCAGUGAAACUGAAUGGGGCUCAAUGUAUAAUAAGCGACAACUGCAUGUAAAUCUUACGGAAGGAAUUUGUUGAAAUGCAUAAGCAUAUUAAAAUUGAACAGAUUAAACUGUCAAAAUUACAAGUUGUUCUUGUAAAGUUGUUUACAUUUUUACUUUAAAUUUUACAGAUUUAUUCUGGCAACCCAGCUGCCAACUUUUUUGCGUAAAAUCGAUGGGAUUUUUCUAACAGUGUGUGUCUGUGUGCGUGUGUUUGCGACGGUGUCGGCGUCGUAGUGGAUGCACGCUGUCCCUGCUUUAUUUUAAUGAAUUAAUGGUACGAGAUAAGGAUGUGUUUUAUGUUUGUAAAUGUUUUUAAAUAUUACGAUAAACGUGUUUAAAUUGUGUGACUUAACUAUAAAAUGUUUGUUUUAUAGGGGCUGCCUACAGCAAAAUAGUUACGUCACUGUUUUUUCCCACUUUAGAUUUCAUCUAGAUUAUUUGGUUUGAUUAUUUGUUUCUUUGUUUUAUUUUAUUUUGUUCUAUGGCAAGGUGCAAUAUAUAUGGUUGACUAUAGGACUGUGCAAUUCGGUGGUGACUUGAAUGGUGGUGAAUUAUUGGCUCCAUAAAGUAGAGGCCCUCUUUUGUCGUUUUGUUGUAGUAUAUCGCUUGCAGUGAGUUUCUUUGGGUGUGUUUUGUUUUUAAUGCAUGAUAUUUUAGCAUUGUACAAUUGGGUUUGGAGCCUCUAACUUCUCUCUCUUUAAGCUGUCAUUUAUAUCAAGUCCAGGCCAGCCUUUCAACCUUUGUACAGCAUGUCACUUUGCGGUUGGAGCAGUGUGUUUUAAGUCAUUUGCAUCUAUUAAAUACAUAUUUCUGAUAUCUCAGCCUCCCGUCCCGUCUUAUUCUGGAUAAGUUUUGAACCAAAUUGACAUUAACUGUCAUCUCUGAACCAUUUUAAAUCACUACAAAAAUAGAAAUUGGGCGAGCAGAGCGCAGUGCGCGCAGAGGUUUCCAGGACUCACAGUGGAAACCCAUUGGUCAGCUACAUAAUUUAAUAGUCGUGACGAUCUUUACAUGACCAUUUAUAAAUAGAAAUUAGGCGUGCAGCGCGAACAGUGCGCGCAAUGCGCAGCGCGUACAGAGCGCACAGGAGAUCACUUACAACAAAUGAAGAAACUUUCCAAAUAAUAUCCAAGAGUGGAGACAAGGAUCCACUGAUAUGAGGGAAUCGGUCCAAUGCUCUAAAUGGAUAAAUACUGCCGUAAAGUUUCACUUUCUCUUCACAUCGCUUGAUGCCGUGCCACUUCCAGGACACAUGGGGGAAACCCAUUGGUCAGCUUCAUAAUUUAAUAUUCUUAUAGUUCUUUGUGUAACGUGUCAAUUCUUAAAGUUUUAUACUUUUAGCAGUGUCAUUUUCCCCGUUCUGGAUGUGUUAAUUAACCUGACAGGACGGCAACUCCUAUAGGCUGCGGGGAGGCGGAGGAGUUUAUUUAGGGACACCUUAGCUUUCUUGCUCUUCCUCUCUCUAUCUCUCUCCCCACUGCCGGUCCUGUGGGUGUGUGCGGAAGGUUAGCGUGAGCGCAGCACGUGUGGUCGAAAUUGUUUGUCGCGGUAAGUUGCUGGAAGUUAUGUAAUGAUAACGGAGAUUCGAAAGAAAGCGUCCGCAAAUAUUAAUUAAAGUUUGUCCUUAGAGCCCAGCGUGAAGCUGUGACUGUGUGCGUGUGUGCGCGACAGUGUCGGCGUCGCUGUGGAUGCACGCUGUCCCUGCUUUAUUUAAUGAAUUAAAGGUACGAGAUAAGGAUGUGUUUUAUGUUUGUAAAUGUUUUUAAAUAUUAUGAUAAACGUGUUCAAAUUGUGUGACCUAACUAUAGCAUGUUUGUUUUAUAUAGGGCUGCCUCCAGCAAAAUAGUCACAUCACUGUUUUUUCCCACUUUAGAUUUCAUUUAGAUUAUUUGGUUUGAUUAUUUGUUUCUUUGUUUAAUUUAAUUUUUUUUUGUUCUAUGGCAAGGUGCAAUAUAUAUGGUUGACUGGGACUGUGCAAUUCGGUGGUAGUGACUUGAAGGGUGGUGAAUUAUUGGCUCCAUAAAGUAGAGGCCCUCUUUUGUCAUUUUGUUGUUGUAUAUCGCUUGCAGGGAUUUUCUCUGAAUGUGUUGUGAUUUGUUUUUAAUGCAUGAUAUUUUAGCAUUGUACAGUUGGGUCUGGAGCCUCUAACUUCUCUCUCUUUAAGCUGUCAUUUAUAUCAAGUCCAGGCCAGCCGUUCAACCUUUGUACAUGUCACUUUGCUGUUGUAGCAGUCUGUUUAAAAUCAUUUGCAUCUAUUAAAUAAAUUGUAUAUUUCUGAUA